UACGGAGGGUGCAAGCGUUAAUCGGAAUUACUGGGCGUAAAGCGUGCGCAGGCGGUUUGUUAAGUCCGUUGUGAAAGCCCCGAGCUCAACUUGGGAAUUGCAGUGGAUACUGGCAGGCUGGAGUACGGUAGAGGAAGGUGGAAUUCCCGGUGUAGCAGUGAAAUGCGUAGAUAUCGGGAGGAACACCGGUGGCGAAGGCGGCCUGCUGGGCAGUAGCUGACGCUGAGGCGCGACAGCGUGGGGAGCAAACAGG
rnacentral:rRNA from 1 species